rnacentral:rRNA from 1 species
UACGUAGGCAGCAAGCGUUGUUCGGAGUUACUGGGCGUAAAGAGUGUGUAGGCGGUCCUCUAAGUUCGGUGUGAAAUCUCCCGGCUCAACUGGGAGGGUGCGCCGGAAACUGGAGGGCUGGAGUAUGGGAGAGGAAAGCGGAAUUCCUGGUGUAGCGGUGAAAUGCGUAGAUAUCAGGAGGAACACCUGCGGUGUAGACGGCUUUCUGGACCAUGACUGACGCUGAGACACGAAAGCGUGGGGAG